rnacentral:ncRNA from 2 species
AAAACUUCAUGAUGAACAGGUGCCGAAAGGCUUAAUAGGGAAAUCGGUGAAAUGCCGAUGCGGUCCCGCCGCUGUAAUGGGGAGCGGAUUACAAUAUGUCACUGAGCAAUCGGGAAGGCGUAAUCAAGCGAAGAACCAGAGCCAGAAGAUCUGCCUGUUUGAAAAUCACCGU